AAGCCCGAAGCAUCGCCAUUUGCUAGUCUGGCAAAAGUAUAUGCAAUUGGAACCAAUCACGAUGAAGGAGCACCUUUGCCUACACCAUAUAUUAAGUGCACAAUUAAUGGUGAGAUCAUCUACGAGGCACUCUGUGACAUUGGAGCACAUGUAAGUGUUAUGUCUUCAAAAGUUUACGAUGAGCUUUAUAGUAAAACCUUGAAACUUGCUCCAAUCCCG
rnacentral:lncRNA from 1 species